rnacentral:lncRNA from 10 species
UUGAAUUAUCAGCAGGCACUGAGGCUUAGUGCCAAGCAAGAAAGACACAGACAAGCUUAUUUUUUCUGCUACCACUUUGAACCUUGAAUACAGACCUCUGGGUAAUGUCACACUGGAUACUUGCUUGCCUUUUCUCUCCCAGACUUUCCAGCAACUCCUGCUCUCCUGCAUAUUGAUCUGUGACUUGACUCUGGACUUCAUGUGUUCAUGUGUUUAUAUGUUAACUACUUGGUGAUUUCAAUAUUUUUUACAUGAUGCAUGACUCCUUUUUACAGAUUCUGCCCAAACCACAUUGGACCAUGUCAAUUUUAUUAUAAGACUUCACCAUAUGCUAUUUCUUUUACCUAGAACACCAUCGUUCAUUCAUACCCUCAAA